CGAGUGCACAUUCGUCUCUUCGUUCAUUUUUAUUCCACGAAAUAUGGACGAGUGAGUGACAACUAAACUUUUAAUUUCAUUCGUAAUUCAAUCGUCAUUGAUGCUCUAUUUUUUUGAUGUUUUACUUAUUGUGUGAAAAUAACAUUCAAUUCCACGACAGAAAGUUUGCUGGGGCGCUUAGCUCGCGAGUUUGAGAAUUAAAAUCAGUCCGGCAGCACCAAGAAAAUUAUUUACGUUUUUUGUGAACUGUGUGUUUAUCAUGAAAUUGUUCAUGUGCAAUGUUCCAACUAAAAAAAAAAUUUUGUUUGAUAUUGUGAUGUGAUCACAAAAUUGAAAUUUUUAAAACCAACAACAAAUAUUCACCGAAAGGAAUACGGUGUGUCGACUAAUUGGAUUAACCUAUCAGGCAAAAAAC